rnacentral:rRNA from 1 species
CAGCCGUAAACUAUGCUCGCUAGGUGUCAGGCAUGGCGCGACCGUGUCUGGUGCCGCAGGGAAGCCGUGAAGCGAGCCACCUGGGAAGUACGGCCGCAAGGCUGAAACUUAAAGGAAUUGGCGGGGGGAGCACAACAACGGGUGGAGCCUGCGGUUUAAUUGGACUCAACGCCGGACGACUCACCGGGGACGACAGCAAUAUGUAGGCCAGGCUGAAGACCUUGCCUGAAUCGCUGAGAGGAGGUGCAUGGCGUAGACGUCU